rnacentral:tRNA from 3 species
AGCGGGGUGGAGGAGUAGUAUCUCGUCAGGCUCAUAACCUGAAGUCCCGGGUGCAAAUCCCGGCCCCGCAA